UACGUAGGGGGCAAGCGUUGUCCGGAAUUAUUGGGCGUAAAGAGCGUGUAGGCGGCCAGAUAAGUCCGCUGUGAAAUCUCGAGGCUCAACCUCGAGCUGUCGGUGGAGACUAUCUGGCUAGAGUCCGGAAGAGGAGAAUGGAAUUCCUGGUGUAGCGGUGAAAUGCGCAGAUAUCAGGAGGAACACCGGUGGCGAAGGCGGGUCUCUGGGCCGAUACUGACGCUGAGGAGCGAAAGCGUGGGGAGCGAACAGG
rnacentral:rRNA from 1 species